rnacentral:rRNA from 1 species
UACGUAGGGUCCGAGCGUUGUCCGGAUUUAUUGGGCGUAAAGAGCUCGUAGGCGGUUCGAUAAGUCGGACGUGAAAUCUCCACGCUCAACGUGGAGGGGCCGUUCGAUACUGUCGUGACUCGAGUCCGGUAGGGGAGUGUGGAAUUCCCGGUGUAGCGGUGAAAUGCGCAGAGAUCGGGAGGAACACCCGUAGCGAAGGCGGCACUCUGGGCCGGUACUGGACGCUGAGGAGCGAAAGCGUGGGGAG